UGCCAGCAGCCGCGGUAAUACGCACGCUCCAACCGUCAUCCGGAAUCAUUGGGUUUAAAGGGUUCGCAGACGGCCUAUUAAGUCAGUGAUAAAAUCUCUCGGCUCAACCGAGAAACUGCCAUUGAUACUGAUAGGCUUGAAUAUAAUUGGAGUAAACGGAAUGCGUAGUGUAGCAAUGAAAUGCUUAGAUAUUACACAGAACACCGAUAGCGAAGGCAGCUUACUAAACUAUUAUUGACGCUCAUGAACGAAAGCGUGGGGAGCGAACAGGAUUAGAUA
rnacentral:rRNA from 1 species